UUCUAUUUGUUAUUCUUAAUAGUAUGACCUGCUCAAUGGAUUUCUUAAUAGCUGCAGAUUUCUGUACUAAGGUAGCAUAAUCAUUUGCCUUUUAAUUGUAGGCUAGAAUAAAAGGUUCAACAUAUAAAUUUCUUUAUUGUUAUGAUUAUUUUAAAUUUAUUUAUAAGUAAAAACCCUUAUAUUGAAUAAGGGGACGACAAGACCCUAUCGAGCUUUACUUUAGUUUUACUGGGGUGGUAAAAAACUAUAUCUUUUUCUCUUGUUCUUGAAAUCUCUUUCUAAGAAUUUUUCAAUCAAGUUACCGUAGGGAUAACAGCAUAAUUUUCUUUUAGAGAUCUUAUCAACAAGAAAGUUUAUGACCUCGAUGUUGAAUAUUUAUCUUUAUAGAGUAACAUCUAUAAAAGAAAGUCUGUUCGACUUUUGAAACUUUACA
rnacentral:rRNA from 1 species